UACAGAGGUCCCAAGCGUUGUUCGGAUUCAUUGGGCGUAAAGGGUGCGUAGGCGGCGCGGUAAGUCGGGUGUGAAAUCUCGGGGCUUAACUCCGAAACUGCAUUCGAUACUGCCGUGCUUGAGGACUGGAGAGGAGACUGGAAUUUACGGUGUAGCGGUGAAAUGCGUAGAUAUCGUGAGGAAGAACAGUUGCGAAGGCGACUCUCUGGGCAAUUCCUGACACUGAGGCACGAAGGCCAGGGGAGCAAACGGG
rnacentral:rRNA from 1 species